GGCUGACUCUCGUAAAUUGUGAGA
rnacentral:siRNA from 1 species